rnacentral:rRNA from 1 species
AACUAAUAAAGUGUUUAGUACAUAUAUUAAAUUUUAUAUGAAGUUCAAUACUAAGUUUAAAAAUAUUGGCGGUGUUUUAUUAAAUUCUGAGAAUCUUGCAUGGUUAAAGUGAUAUUACACAGUUUAUCUUGUCUUGAAAUAUUGGUUUAUGUAUUGCUGUUUAAUUUAUUAUUAAAUUAGAUUAAAAUAAGUAAUAAGAUUUUAGAAUAAUUAAUUCAAGUCAAAAUGUAAUUAUUUUAAGGUUUGUGUGAGUUGCUUUUAUUUAGGGAAAUAUGAAUAAUAAGAAAAAAAGUGAAAUAAUUUUUGAAGAAAGGAUUAGGUUGUAAGAAGAAAUUAAUAAAUUUUUCUGAUAAGUUUUAUAAAUAUGU